GUUAAAUUUUAGUGAUGCUUCAAACCUUAUGCAUUUGAAUACUUGAAUUUGGGGUUAAUCUUGUCCUAAUUGUUUAUGCUUGAAACCUUAUGCAUUUGAAUUCUUGAAUUGAUUUCUGUUUUACAGUGAUGGUAGUUUUUUUGUUUGGGUCAAUUCUGAUGAAUGCCAUAUGCUCGGGCAAGCAUCUUUUGUGUCUUAUAUAAAAAAAGAGUGACCUAGUGC
rnacentral:misc_RNA from 1 species